GCGCGGGUAGCUCAGUCCGGAUAGAGCACCUGACUACGGAUCAGGCGGCCGGGGGUUCGAAUCCCUCCCCGCGCGC
rnacentral:tRNA from 1 species